ACAGCAGUAGCCACGGUAAAACGGAGGGUGCAAGCGUUAUCCGGAUUUAUUGGGUUUAAAGGGUCCGUAGGCGGACUUAUAAGUCAGUGGUGAAAGCCUGUCGCUUAACGAUAGAACUGCCAUUGAUACUGUAAGUCUUGAGUAUAUUUGAGGUAGCUGGAAUAAGUAGUGUAGCGGUGAAAUGCAUAGAUAUUACUUAGAACACCAAUUGCGAAGGCAGGUUACCAAGAUAUAACUGACGCUGAGGGACGAAAGCGUGGGUAGCGAACAGGAUUAGAUACCCGUGUAGUCCCUGUCUCUUAUAC
rnacentral:rRNA from 1 species